GAUGAAGAACGUAGCGAAAUGCGAUACGUAAUGUGAAUUGCAGAAUUCAGUGAAUCAUCGAGUCUUUGAACGCACAUUGCGCCCCCUGGUAUUCCGGGGGGCAUGCCUGUCCGAGCGUCAUUAUCACCCCUCAAGCCUAGCUUGGUGUUGAGACCUGCUGUCAAGGCAGUCUCUAAAAUCAGUGGCAGUGCUGUCAGGCUCUAAGCGUAGUAAAUCCAUCGCUAUAGACACCUGGUGGCCACUCGCCAGAACCCCCCCAUUUUUUAAUGAUUGACCUCGGAUUAGGUAGGGAUACCCGCUGAACUUAAGCAUAUCAAUAAGCGGAGGA
rnacentral:misc_RNA from 1 species